rnacentral:rRNA from 1 species
AUGAACGCUAGCUACAGGCUUAACACAUGCAAGUCGAGGGGCAGCAUGGUCUUAGCUUGCUAAGGCCGAUGGCGACCGGCGCACGGGUGAGUAACACGUAUCCAACCUGCCGUCUACUCUUGGACAGCCUUCUGAAAGGAAGAUUAAUACAAGAUGGCAUCAUGAGUCCGCAUGUUCACAUGAUUAAAGGUAUUCCGGUAGACGAUGGGGAUGCGUUCCAUUAGAUAGUAGGCGGGGUAACGGCCCACCUAGUCUUCGAUGGAUAGGGGUUCUGAGAGGAAGGUCCCCCACAUUGGAACUGAGACACGGUCCAAACUCCUACGGGAGGCAGCAGUGAGGAAUAUUGGUCAAUGGGCGAGAGCCUGAACCAGCCAAGUAGCGUGAAGGAUGACUGCCCUAUGGGUUGUAAACUUCUUUUAUAAAGGAAUAAAGUCGGGUAUGGAUACCCGUUUGCAUGUACUUUAUGAAUAAGGAUCGGCUAACUCCGUGCCAGCAGCCGCGGUAAUACGGAGGAUCCGAGCGUUAUCCGGAUUUAUUGGGUUUAAAGGGAGUGUAGAUGGAUGUUUAAGUCAGUUGUGAAAGUUUGCGGCUCAACCGUAAAAUUGCAGUUGAUACUGGAUAUCUUGAGUGCAGUUGAGGCAGGCGGAAUUCGUGGUGUAGCGGUGAAAUGCUUAGAUAUCACGAAGAACUCCGAUUGCGAAGGCAGCCUGCUAAGCUGCAACUGACAUUGAGGCUCGAAAGUGUGGGUAUCAAACAGGAUUAGAUACCCUGGUAGUCCACACGGUAAACGAUGAAUACUCGCUGUUUGCGAUAUACUGCAAGCGGCCAAGCGAAAGCGUUAAGUAUUCCACCUGGGGAGUACGCCGGCAACGGUGAAACUCAAAGGAAUUGACGGGGGCCCGCACAAGCGGAGGAACAUGUGGUUUAAUUCGAUGAUACGCGAGGAACCUUACCCGGGCUUAAAUUGCAGAUGAAUUACGGUGAAAGCCGUAAGCCGCAAGGCAUCUGUGAAGGUGCUGCAUGGUUGUCGUCAGCUCGUGCCGUGAGGUGUCGGCUUAAGUGCCAUAACGAGCGCAACCCUUGUUGUCAGUUACUAACAGGUUCCGCUGAGGACUCUGACAAGACUGCCAUCGUAAGAUGUGAGGAAGGUGGGGAUGACGUCAAAUCAGCACGGCCCUUACGUCCGGGGCUACACACGUGUUACAAUGGGGGGUACAGAGGGCCGCUACCACGCGAGUGGAUGCCAAUCCCCAAAACCUCUCUCAGUUCGGACUGGAGUCUGCAACCCGACUCCACGAAGCUGGAUUCGCUAGUAAUCGCGCAUCAGCCACGGCGCGGUGAAUACGUUCCCGGGCCUUGUACACACCGCCCGUCAAGCCAUGGGAGCCGGGGGUACCUGAAGUGCGUAACCGCGAGGAGCGCCCUAGGGUAAAACUGGUGACUGGGGCU